rfam:Nematostella vectensis strain CH2 x CH6 NEMVEscaffold_273_Cont21882, whole genome shotgun sequence.
UUUGCAACAGUGAUGAUUGAAUAAAAGCAUAGUUCAUCUGAAUAAUAUUGUAGAAAAAUAUUUCGCCCCUAUCUGAAGUUGCAAA